rnacentral:tmRNA from 1 species
GGGGAUGUAAAGGUUUCGACGGGGGACGCGACCCGUGAUAAGCGAGCGGCGGUGCGGAACCGCCAUAAAAUCCGCAAACUUAAAAUAACUGACAACAAUAAAGUUGCUUUAGCUGCUUAAUGCAGCUCGUCUCUGCGCGGAGGACCUCGGCCGUGCAAGAGGCGUCGACAAGAGGUAAAGGUGAACAGGGCUGUGCUUCGCGCCCCGUCAUCCAUCAGAAGCUACCAACCCGCAGAGCCUGUCGUUGGGCGCUGCGGCAAGGGAAUGUUCAUACAGCGACUGCGCUCGGAGAAACUCACGGCAAACGUCUUUCGGACGCGGGUUCAACUCCCGCCAUCUCCACCA